rnacentral:rRNA from 1 species
UUGGGAAUCUUGCACAAUGGGGGAAACCCUGAUGCAGCGACGCCGCGUGGAGGAUGAAGGAUCUAGGUUCGUAAACUCCUUUUUCAGGGAAAGACUUAGGACGGUACCCUGAGAAUAAGCUCCGGCUAACUACGUGCCAGCAGCCGCGGUAAGACGUAGGGAGCAAGCGUUGUCCGGAUUUACUGGGCGUAAAGGGCGCGUAGGCGGCUUGUUAAGUGUGAAGUGAAAUCUCCAGUGCUCAACACGGAAACUGCUUCGCAUACUGGCAAGCUUGAGGGAUGAAGAGGUAAGUGGAAUUCCUGGUGUAGCGGUGAAAUGCGUAGAUAUCAGGAGGAACACCCAUGGCGAAGGCAGCUUACUGGUCAUCUCCUGACGCUGAGGCGCGAAAGCGUGGGUAGCAAACAG